rnacentral:rRNA from 1 species
UACGUAGGGGGCAAGCGUUGUCCGGAUUUAUUGGGCGUAAAGAGCGUGUAGGCGGCCAUACAGGUCAGCUGUGAAAACUCGAGGCUCAACCUCGAGACGUCGGUUGAAACCGUAUGGCUAGAGUCCGGAAGAGGAGAGUGGAAUUCCCGGUGUAGCGGUGAAAUGCGCAGAUAUCGGGAAGAACACCGGUGGCGAAGGCGGCGACCUGGUCCGAUACUGACGCUGAGGCGCGAAGCGUGGGGAGCAAACAGG